GUGGAAACUGCGAUACCUCCACAAUCGCGGCAGGAGCCUCCGCCUUCUGGCUGAAGUCGAGAUGCAGCCACCCAGUCCCAGGCGGCGCUGCCGUAUCAAUGUUGCAAUGCCACUGCUGGCGUUGUAUUGUGAUGGCCACAGUGACAUGAGGGUGGACUUCAGGCUCACCUGAGUCAUUCAACGCCCUCAUGGCUGUGCUGGGCACUGACUGACCACGGUUGGGGCCCCGAGAUCUCCUGUCUAGUUUUUAUUUUUUGGCUUGCCAGCGCCA